rnacentral:rRNA from 1 species
CCUACGGGGGGCUGCAGUGGGGAAUAUUGGACAAUGGGGGGAACCCUGAUCCAGCCAUGCCGCGUGUGUGAAGAAGGCCCUCGGGUUGUAAAGCACUUUCAGUGAGGAAGAACGCCUGGUGGUUAAUACCCAUCAGGAAAGACAUCACUCACAGAAGAAGCACCGGCUAACUCCGUGCCAGCAGCCGCGGUAAUACGGAGGGUGCGAGCGUUAAUCGGAAUUACUGGGCGUAAAGCGCGCGUAGGUGGCUUGAUAAGCCGGUUGUGAAAGCCCCGGGCUCAACCUGGGAACGGCAUCCGGAACUGUCAGGCUAGAGUGCAGGAGAGGAAGGUAGAAUUCCCGGUGUAGCGGUGAAAUGCGUAGAGAUCGGGAGGAAUACCAGUGGCGAAGGCGGCCCUCUGGACUGACACUGACGCUGAGGUGCGAAAGCGUGGGUAGCAAACAGGAUUAGAUACCCCGGUAGUC